rnacentral:lncRNA from 1 species
CUCUCAACAAGAGACCAAAUGACACAGAAAUUAACAUCUAUUGGUCACCGUACGGCCUUCAACAGUUUACAAAGCCAAUAAUACAUUGUCAACUAUAAAAGGCUUCGAAAUGAUAUUGUAAAACAAUUCAAAUGAGAAAACUAACGGCCUAAUCUAUGUACAAACAAUGAACGAAAAACAAGUAUGUAUCACACAAACAUACAACCACUGAAUUACAGGCUCAUGGAUUGGUACAGCACACACAUACAGCAUGUAUUGGGGUUAAAUAUGUUAGCGGGAUCCCAACCCUCUGUUCAAUAUCGAAAUAGUGUCAGUUGUUUCCGAGUGUGUUAUAAUGUAGGGUUGAAUGUGAUUGUUGAAAUCGCAAUUUAGUAUCAGUCAUCUGACGCGUCAAUGAAAUAAUCUACGAUAAGCAUAUCCAAUAUGUAAAUAUCUGCUUAUGAAAAUGACUAUCGCGUUUAUUUCAUUAUCAAAGUGGCCACCUCUGAUAUUGUUACAGACUUUGUGCGCAAUUCUUCCUGAAAUCGGAGUCUUUGGUUAAAAAACUAUAUGAAAAAAUCACAUGAUAAAGACAAUCAAAGAGGUUAACAUUGACCAUAAAAAUAAGGUAAAGGUAAGAUUAAAGCUUACAACCAUACGGUACCCUAUACAUAUGAAUUUGACAUAAU